rnacentral:rRNA from 1 species
GUAUUAAAGGUCCCGCCUGCCCAGUGAAACAUUUUUUAACGGCCGCGGUAUUCUAACCGUGCAAAGGUAGCGUAAUCACUUGUCUUCUAAAUAAAGACUAGUAUGAACGGCUAAAUGAGGACAAACCUGUCUCCUAUGACCAAUCAGUGAAACUGAUCUUCCAGUGCAAAAGCUGGAAUGUACCCAUAAGACGAGAAGACCCUGUGGAGCUUCAAACCAAGUACUACGAACCAAGCCUAGUAUAAAGUUUUAAGUUGGGGCGACUUCGGAACAAAACACAACUUCCAAGCACAGAGGCACAAACCUCCCCUUAAGGCCAACAAGCCUAAGACAAACAAACAUGACCCAGUCAUACUGAUCAACGAACCAAGUUACCCCAGGGAUAACAGCGCUAUCUUCUUCAAGAGUCCAUAUCGACAAGAAGGUUUACGACCUCGAUGUUGGAUCAGGACACCCAAAUGGUGCAGCCGCUAUUAAAGGUUCGUUUGUUCAACGAUUAA